AUGGCUAAAUAUUGGUGGGGCAGCUCCCUCGACAAAAGAUCUAUGCAUUGGAUGUCCUGGGACAAGCUGACAGUGCCAAAGGUCAAGGGAGGCAUGGGUUUUCGAGACCCUGAAGUGUUCAAUAUUGCUAUGCUCGGCAAGCAGGGCUGGCGACUUUUGACACACCCAGACUCCUUGUGUGCCCGGGUUCUAAAAGGAAGAUACUUCCCUCAGUCAGAUUUCUUACACGCUACAGCGCCGGCUCGGGCUUCUGCCACAUGGAAGGCCAUAGUGGCUGGCCCAAAGGCGCUGGAAGAGGGCUUGAUCCACAGGGUCGGCGACGGCACCACGAUCUCAAUUUGGAUAGACCCGUGGAUACCA
rnacentral:rRNA from 1 species